rnacentral:rRNA from 1 species
CCCUUAGAUGUUCUGGGCCGCACGCGCGCUACACUGACGAUGGCAACGAGUUUUUCCUUCGCCGAAAGGUGUGGGUAAUCUUUUGAAACAUCGUCGUGCUGGGGAUAGAUCAUUGCAAUUUUUGAUCUUGAACGAGGAAUUCCUAGUAAGCGCGAGUCAUCAGCUCGCGUUGAUUACGUCCCUGCCCUUUGUACACACCGCCCGUCGCUACUACCGAUUGAAUGGUUUAGUGAGGACUCCUGAUUGGCGCCGCCGCCCCGGCAACGGAGCAGCGGACUGCCGAAAAGUUGUUCAAACUUGAUUAUUUAGAGGAAGUAAAAGUCGUAACA